rnacentral:rRNA from 1 species
UAGGGAAUUUUCCACAAUGGACGCAAGUCUGAUGGAGCAACGCCGCGUGAGUGAAGAAGGUUUUCGGACCGUAAAGCUCUGUUGUUGGUGAAGAAGGAUAGAGGUAGUAACUGGCCUUUAUUUGACGGUAAUCAACCAGAAAGUCACGGCUAACUACGUGCCAGCAGCCGCGGUAAUACGUAGGUGGCAAGCGUUGUCCGGAUUUAUUGGGCGUAAAGCGAGCGCAGGCGGAAGAAUAAGUCUGAUGUGAAAGCCCUCGGCUUAACCGAGGAAUUGCAUCGGAAACUGUUUUCUUGAGUGCAGAAGAGGAGAGUAGAACUCCAUGUGUAGCGGUGGAAUGCGUAGAUAUAUGGAAGAAUACCAGUGGCGAAGGCGGCUCUCUGGUCUGCAACUGACGCUGAGGCUCGAAAGCGUGGGUAGCGAACAGGAUUAGAUACCCUGGUAGUCCAUGCCGUAAACGAUGAGUGCUAAGUGUUGGGAGGCUUCCGCCUCUCAGUGCUGCAGCUAACGCAUUAAGCACUCCGCCUGGGGGAGUACGACCGCAAGGUUGAAAC